AGCCGUAUGGGGCUGUACCGUCGGUUUUGGGURRUAAAUCGUCCUGCACUCCCMCUAAAUGUCCGGCCAVCGUCGGUUUGGUUUGGCUCUUGCGGACGGUCGGGUAGGUACCUCACUGUGCGGUUUCGGCGUGCGCAGGGAGAACUUAAAGCCGGUCGUUUUUUUGCAGUUGAACGUAGCGRACCGAGGAGACGUGUGCCAAUUCACACAGGCAGAGCAUGCCCGCCGUUUCUGCGGUGGGCCGGACCGCUUCUAAUCGUUGAGUAGGCGCUGCUGGGACUGUUUGCCAGUGCCAGUUGACG
rnacentral:sRNA from 1 species